rnacentral:lncRNA from 1 species
CAUAAACCAACUACAUUUUUUUUAAAAUUUUUUAUUCAUUCUUAAAUACGAAAAAAUAGAAAGUAAUUUUGUGUCACUAAAUCCAAAAUAUAGUAAAUGUUUUCUGUCCACUUAUCUUUUUAUCUGAAGUUUGAAAAAUAAUUAUCACCCAAAAUAAACCGAUCCUCUUUACCUACCCGAACUUUUUAUUGUUCCGUUCAAAUUUAUUCUGCAACCAGCC